CGAAACCUACGGGGGGCAGCAGUGAAGAAUAUUGGUCAAUGGGCGGGAGCCUGAACCAGCCAAGUCGCGUGAGGGAAGACGGUCCUAUGGAUUGUAAACCUCUUUAGGCGGGGAGCAAUGCCGGGCACGCGUGCCCGGAGGGAGAGUACCCGCAGAAUAAGCAUCGGCUAACUCCGUGCCAGCAGCCGCGGUAAUACGGAGGAUGCGAGCGUUAUCCGGAUUUAUUGGGUUUAAAGGGUGCGCAGGCGGGCCUUUAAGCCGGCGGUGGAAUCGCGGGGCUCAAACCCGCCC
rnacentral:rRNA from 1 species